rnacentral:rRNA from 1 species
UACGUAGGGGGCAAGCGUUGUCCGGAAUCAUUGGGCGUAAAGAGCGUGUAGGCGGCCAGAUAAGUCCGCUGUGAAAUCUCGAGGCUCAACUUCGAGCUGUCGGUGGAAACUGUCUGGCUAGAGUCCGGAAGAGGAGAAUGGAAUUCCUGGUGUAGCGGUGAAAUGCGCAGAUAUCAGGAAGAACACCCGUGGCGAAGGCGGUUCUCUGGGACGGUACUGACGCUGAGACGCGAAAGCUGGGGGAGCGAACGGG